GAGAAAAAAGAAGACAAAUAAUUUCAGAAGUUAAAGGUGAAACAGAAAAGGAGAAAACAAAAAGUAGGGAAACUGCUGGUGGAAGUGCCCCUGCUAGUCCUGCGGCCGUGCUGGGCCCUGAUCCAGCCUCGCUCCGGACCAUUGUUUCCCUGCCUGGCCCCCCAAGUCCAAGUUCAUCUGGGUGUGACAUCAUGUCUGGUUGCUCAGGGAAACCAGACGGGCCAGACGUGACAUUGGUUAUGGGCUGGAAAGGGGAGCAGAUCUCAUUCCUGCUCUGCUCCUUCAUUCACCACCAGGGAGCAACGGAGGCUAGGAAGGAAAGACAGAUUGAGCUAAGAGCUGUCUUAUGUGGGACAGGAGAAAUGGGGGAAAAUCAUGUUUCCUCCCCAUGGUAUUCAACUUUUCUUUGUUGCUUUCACCUUCAUACCAUCAUGAUUUUCCCUUCUGUUUGUGGCAUCGGCAUGAUUAUGAUUUCCCUAAAUAAUAUAACAAUCCAGUCUUUUUAUUCAUUGUGCAACAAAAUACAGUUAUUAUUCAAUCGUUGUAAGGUAUUCUCUGCUGCACAGAAACUAUAAAUAUGCAGAUCCUUCCUCCCUGCACUGACUUUUUCUACUAUGUUGAGAGUGGCUGGUAUGCUCUGUGAACAGGAGUGCCAAUGGCAUUUAAGGGCAACCAUUCAUAAUAUCACUGGUGCUGAGCAACACACUCCUUCUCUCACCCAUGCAAGUUUGAAAAGAGAGUCAGCUUUUUUCCUACAUGGUGCAUUCGCUGAGCAACUUAAUCUCACAGCAGAGCUAGUGUAGCCUAUUAAAAAUCAGAAGAACAAGCAGCACAGCUCUUCUUCAUUCCUUGGAAGCAAUUUUAUCAUUUUGAACUAUUUCCUCUACAUUUAGAUAUUAUUCCUCUCCCAUAUGUCUCUCAGGUUAUAUUGUUUGCUUUGUACAAGUAAAUACCAUGUAGAGAAAACACAAAGUCAGGAUUUCUAGUUGCAGUGAUUAUAUAUGACAAAACAAUGCACCAUAAACUCAGUUUGCAUUUUAAUCCACAAAAAAAGCACCUUCUUUUCUUUUCUAGAGGAUCAUAUGGGCGAUGGUGGAGAAAAGCUUCCUGGGCAGUCAGAAGUUGGUUUCAGGAACGGAUUUCUGAUCAAACUCUAAUCUAGGAAGUCUAGAAACUGCUAAUGGCUUUCACUCAAGCUUGGGAUCAACUGUAUCCAAUAUAUACUUCAAAUGGCAGAUUACGUAAGUCUUUACCCCAUUACCUGGAGUCCUGUACUGACUAUGUCUUCAAAAGCUGCUUAUUAUACCCUAUGACUUGCUGUCUGAGAAGUUACAGGACAAAGGAAGAGAGAAAUCAGUCCUGCUACAAUAAAUUCUUCAGUUAGAACACCAAAGUAGUAUUAUACUAUACAAGUGGAGACUUGGUAGAGACUCAAGCAAGUAAUGACCUCUCUCCAAACAUACCACUGAUACUAGUUCUCACAAAACAUCUUCAUAAGUCCUGCUUCUCUCUGACAGUUUACUGCCUCUUGAACUGCCAUCCAUGGCAAGAUCCAAAACACAGAGUGACAAGCAAGGUACUGUUCAGACUACUGAUAUUUAAAAUAUUAAUAAUCUGUUUACAAAACCUGUUUGAUGCUUCAGGGCAAGCCAUUUGACAAUGCAGCUUAGUGGCUUAUCUAGAUAAGAGGCUGGAGACAUGUAUUCUAAACUUGUUUGUUCUAUUUGUUACCUGAAUCACCUCAUCAGAUAUGUUGCUACACGAAUUAAAAUGCUUUCUUCUAUUUCUUCCCUCCCUCUACUGCACACAUAUGUGCAACUUCUACAGUUCUGUACAAAACAUCUGACAAUGCAGUACAACAUCAUUGUAAGUGAUAUAAAGUCACUAUUAAUCAGAAACCACAACAUCAUCCUAAGGAAAGCCAAACACCAAAAACUGUGGCAGUAUCCCUAAGCUUCAAACAUUAUGCUUAUGGUCGGUUACAAGAAAUAUAACUAAAUACCUCCAGCAUAUAAAUCCAUAUCAUGGUUCUUCCUAAACAGCAGUCAUAGGAAUUUAUAAAUAACACCUAAACAGAUUCUCUGUUCAUUUAAUCUAAGCGCACAGACUUUAAAUGCCUUGGCUGAAGGCUGCAUAUGCCAUGACCUAAACAAGGAAAAGAUGAUGCAAAUGAUAGCCUGGUCUUCAAAAACUUUAAGAAAUUGGGAGUGGUGUGAUGGCUCAGCGGUUAAGUGUUGGGUUUGAGACCCAAGUGUCAUGCGAUGGGGUGAGCUCCUGUUCUUGCCCCAGCUGCUGCCCACCUAGCAGUUUGAAAGCAUGCAAAUGGGAGUAGAUACAUAAGUACCACUUCGGUGGGGAGGAAACAGGGCUUUGUGACAUCACGCUGACCAAAUGACCAUGGAAAUGUCUUUGGAUAAUCUGGCCCUUGAAAAGGAGAUGAACCUGCCCCCUAUAGUUGGUUAUGACUAGUGGAGUAAAAUCCUCAGGGAUCCCUUCCUUUCCUCUCUUCUUCAAGAAAUUAUUGCAUUUAUUUUUUAAAUGACUAUUUCCUUAUGACCCUAUCUGUACAAUGAAGAAAUCUUUAAAGGUCUUUCUUUGGAUAAUUCACUGGCACAAAAAAAUGAUAGAUAGAAGACAAAUCUAGUGUCUUUUCUGUGCUGGCAUCUUGGUAUUUUUGACAUCCUAUGGCUCUCUGCCUGCUCUGAUGGGAUUUUAAUGCCAGGGAAGAUCUUUUAAAACCCUAAGCAUUUUAAAUGGUAUUUUUUUCUCCAAUGAUCGGAUUUCAUUACAUUUUCCCAUCUGCUGUUUUUCAUUUUAAUGCUGUUAUUUUAUGGUAUGCAUUUCAUUACUUUUGUUGUAGUAUUUUAUUUCUAUUUUCAUUACAAGACCAUCCUGUGAAAGUGACUUGGAAGGGCAGCAUAUAAAUAACAAAAAUAAAAAUAAUAAAAAAUAAUUUUAGAAGUGAAAGAAGUGUAGCCAUUCAGACUCCAAACAGACUCUCAAAAUAGAUUGAAAUACAGACUUUCAAAAGAUUUUAAGAAAUGUACUGAAAAUACAUUUGUCAUUUUCACUUUCAUGGGGCUUAAGGGUUCUACUUCAAUUUCAAGCACACCUCAGAGAAGCAAGGAUAAAUAUUUCACUUUGAAACGAUAAGUCAUUAGAAAUCUGACAUAUAACUCUCAAUGUAUCAAUGUAGUCAACAGCAGAGAUCCCCAACCUUUUGGGCACCAAGGACCGGUUCUGUGGAAAGAGAUUUUUCCG